UCAGCUGUUGCGGGGCGGGGCCUUCGCAGAGCAUGGCGGCGGGCGAGCUUGAGGGUGGCAAGACCCUGAGCGGGCUGCUGAAUGCGCUGGCCCAGGACACUUUCCACGGGUACCCCGGCAUCACAGAGGAGCUGCUACGGAGCCAGCUAUAUCCAGAGGUGGCACCCGAGGAGUUCCGCCCCUUUCUGGCAAAGAUGAGGGGGAUUCUUAAGUCUAUUGCGUCUGCAGACAUGGAUUUCAACCAGCUGGAGGCAUUCUUGACUGCUCAAACCAAAAAGCAAGGUGGGAUCACAUCUGACCAAGCUGCUGUCAUUUCCAAAUUCUGGAAGAGCCACAAGACAAAAAUCCGUGAGAGCCUCAUGAACCAGAGCCGCUGGAAUAGCGGGCUUCGGGGCCUGAGCUGGAGAGUUGAUGGCAAGUCUCAGUCAAGGCACUCAGCUCAAAUACACACACCUGUUGCCAUUAUAGAGCUGGAAUUAGGCAAAUAUGGACAGGUGAGUUAAACUUAAGUCAAUUUUCCUUUGUAAACUGUAUUUUUCACUACAUGUUAGCUUGUCUAUUCAGCUUGAUUUUAUGCAAUAACAGCAACAGGAAAAGACACUGU
rnacentral:sRNA from 1 species